rnacentral:rRNA from 1 species
GGUGAUCGACUCUACUCCGGUAGGGUUGAGAGCCGUCGAACCUCUCGGAGAAGUUCGGUCCUGAACUCCACCCUUGAAUAAAUUACCUUUGUUGCUUUGGCGGGCCGCCUCGCGCCAGCGGCUUCGGCUGUUGAGUGCCCGCCAGAGGACCACAACUCUUGUUUUUAGUGAUGUCUGAGUACUAUAUAAUAGUUAAAACUUUCAACAACGGAUCUCUUGGUUCUGGCAUCGAUGAAGAACGCAGCGAAAUGCGAUAAGUAAUGUGAAUUGCAGAAUUCAGUGAAUCAUCGAAUCUUUGAACGCACAUUGCGCCCUCUGGUAUUCCGGGGGGCAUGCCUGUUCGAGCGUCAUUAUAACCACUCAAGCUCUCGCUUGGUAUUGGGGUUCGCGGUUCCGCGGCCCCUAAAAUCAGUGGCGGUGCCUGUCGGCUCUACGCGUAGUAAUACUCCUCGCGAUUGAGUCCGGUAGGUCUACUUGCCAACAACCCCCAAUUUUUACAGGUUGACCUCGGAUCAGGUAGGGAUACCCGCUGAACUUAA